GUUGAACGCUGGCGGCGUGCCUAACACAUGCAAGUCGAGCGGCGCUUCGGACGGGUGAGUAAUGCCUAGGAAUCUGCCUGGUAGUGGGGGAUAACGUCCGGGGACGGGCGCUAAUACCGCAUACUAGCAGAUCAGUUUAGGUCGUAUUAGCUAGUUGGUGGGGUAAAGGCCUACCAAGGCGACGAUCCGUCUCUGGUCUGAGAGGGUGAUCAGUCACACUGGAACUGAGACACGGCCCAGACUCCUACGGGAGGAAGCAGUGGGGAAUAUUGGACAAUGGGCGAAAGCCUGACCCAGCCAUGCCGCGUGUGUGAAGAAGGUCUUCGGAUGGUAAAGCACUUUAAGUUGGGAGGCGGUACCAAAACAGUAAGCACCGGCUAACUACGUGCCAGCAGCCGCGGUAAUAC
rnacentral:rRNA from 1 species